GGUGUGGGAUGAGCCCGCGGCCUAUCAGCUUGUUGGUGGGGUGACGGCCUACCAAGGCGACGACGGGUAGCCGGCCUGAGAGGGUGUCCGGCCACACUGGGACUGAGAUACGGCCCAGACUCCUACGGGAGGCAGCAGUGGGGAAUAUUGCACAAUGGGCGCAAGCCUGAUGCAGCGACGCCGCGUGGGGGAUGACGGCCUUCGGGUUGUAAACCUCUUUCACCAUCGACGAAGGUCCGGGUUCUCUCGGAUUGACGGUAGGUGGAGAAGAAGCACCGGCCAACUACGUGCCAGCAGCCGCGGUAAUACGUAGGGUGCGAGCGUUGUCCGGAAUUACUGGGCGUAAAGAGCUCGUAGGUGGUUUGUCGCGUUGUUCGUGAAAUCUCACGGCUUAACUGUGAGCGUGCGGGCGAUACGGGCAGACUAGAGUACUGCAGGGGAGACUGGAAUUCCUGGUGUAGCGGUGGAAUGCGCAGAUAUCAGGAGGAACACCGGUGGCGAAGGCGGGUCUCUGGGCAGUAACUGACGCUGAGGAGCGAAAGCGUGGGGAGCGAACAGGAUUAGAUACCCUGGUAGUCCACGCCGUAAACGGUGGGUACUAGGUGUGGGUUUCCUUCCUUGGGAUCCGUGCCGUAGCUAACGCAUUAAGUACCCCGCCUGGGGAGUACGGCCGCAAGGCUAAAACUCAAAGGAAUUGACGGGGGCCCGCACAAGCGGCGGAGCAUGUGGAUUAA
rnacentral:rRNA from 1 species